ACGCGAGAAAGCUGUCUCAAGAGGCUCAAGAAUAUGCGAGGAUCACUUCACACCUGAUCAGUUUCUUGAUCAAGGAAGGAAUGGAAAAAAACGAUUAAAGGCAAAUGCUGUCCCUAGCAUAUUUUCUUACGACUCAGUACUGCAAGAUGCACCUGUUGCACCCCAGGCUGC
rnacentral:lncRNA from 1 species